AAGUCGUAACAAGGUUUCCGUAGGUGAACCUGCGGAAGGAUCAUUACCGAGUUCAUGCCCUCACGGGUAGAUCUCCCACCCUUUGUAUACUAUACCUUUGUUGCUUUGGCGGGCCGCCUAGCUACUGGCUUCGGCUGGUAAGUGCCCGCCAGAGGACCCAAAACCCUGAAUAUUAGUGUCGUCUGAGUAAAAUUUUAAUAUUUAAAACUUUCAACAACGGAUCUCUUGGCUCUG
rnacentral:misc_RNA from 1 species